UGCUUUUGGCGAGCCUGUUUGUUGACCCGACUCGUGUUCUUGAUCAUUAUGCAACCAAUUCAAACCAAACCGACCCGUUUUCGAAUCCCCUUCUCUUUCGUUUCCUUUCCAUGGCCAUGUAAUUCCCUUUUUACCCAUCCAUGCCUCUGCUUUUGACGAUAAUAUCUUGUGGAUACCGGGUUUGUUUUCACUAUCAUCACCGGAAUCUGUCGAGUGUUUUCCGGUAAAUUGAUCUUUAAACGGUGUUUGAGAAAUAUCACCCCUUGGGGUGCUCGCUCCACUUGAAUAUCCAUCGUCUUUAUGAUCAGCGGCGUUUAAGUCGUUUUCGGAAUAAUGACCGUCUCCACUCGCUUCAUGAUCCAUGAAGUUUUCUCCGGUUUUUAUUUUGGAUUUUACCUUGUUGCUAACUUUUGAAGCCUGUUUUUGUAGAGGUUGUUGAGGAUCAAGCCCAAGUUUAGCGGAAGCAAUUCUCCUUGGUGCACUAAUAUUCCCGACGGGCUUCAUUUCUCGAUACGGGCGG
rnacentral:lncRNA from 1 species